GAAAAAUAUGCAUUUUAAAAUAGCAGUGCUGCCAUUUUAGAAUUAUUGUUUAAUGUCACUUAAUUUCUUGAACGCAGGGGUAAAGCUUUUUUAGUGGUCCAUACUUGAAGGCCAUACAAGGUGGACUGUGAGAAGCAAAGCCACACAAUGUGUGCAAAGGAGCGAUGGACGCUUGGGUCAAGGAGGGACACAGAAUCACACAGACCUUGCCAUUCCCUCAGUAUCUCUUUUUUCUGGCCAAGCACAGCAGUCUACAGUGAUGGCUGGGGGGGCCUAAGAACGCUCACUGUUUCCAAAUCCCUUAAAUAUUUCACUCCUCUGACAGAGCUGAACACUGACUCCUCUGUUUGCCUUCUUUGUGCUGUGCAUUUGCACCUGUUCCAGCUCUAAGUCCUGAUCUGCUCCUCUGUUCCUUCUCACUGCAGUGCCUUCCACCCCCUUUUUUUUUUUUUUUUUAAGAAAAAUCCUCGCCAGGCCAGCAUUAUGCUAAUUUCCCCCACAAUAGUUUAGGUGAAGAAAACAUAUUGCAUGCUAUCUUAACAAUGACUUCUCUCUCUCGGUCUCACUUCCAUGCUAAUGUACCCUGUGGCUAACGGCAACC